rnacentral:rRNA from 1 species
UACGUAGGAGGCGAGCGUUGUCCGGAAUUACUGGGCGUAAAGAGCGCGUAGGCGGCACGGUACGACCGGUGUGAAAGCCCCCGGCUCAACUGGGGAGGUCACCGGUAACGGCCGAGCUACGAGUGCAGGAGAGGGAAGUGGAACGUCCGGGAGUAGCGGUGAAAUGCGUAGAGACCCGGAGGAACACCAGUGGCGAAGGCGGCUUCCUGGUCUGCAACUGACGCUGUGGCGCGAAAGCUAGGGGAGCAAACGGG